CUCCCGGCUUCCGGACGACCGGCGUCGGCGUCCCCAGGCCCAGGCCCCCACCGCACACACACCCUGGCGCCUGCUCCCCGGAGGCCACGAGCGGCCCGCGGCCUAGGCCGAGAUCGCGCGGUCGGCGGAGGAGAGGCCUUCCAGCGGCCGCCCGGUUCGGCUCCGCCUCCCCCCCGCCGCCGCCUGACACAAAGCCGGUGCGGGGCCCAGCUAGGCCGCGAGGCCCUUCCUCACCACCCCGGGCCCCGGAAGGCGGCUUCGUUGGCCCCGGGGACACCACCGAGGCUGCCCGACUCUUCCUCUUGCUGCUCCUCGCGCUGCUCCCGCUCCUGUCGCCUCUGAGCCCACGACCGCGUCGGGAAGCCCGGAAACGGUCGGGCGGCGGCGAGGGCGUCGCUGGAUUCCCUCUUUAUUAUUAUUAUUUUUUUUUUGUUCUGCCCCCCCAACCCCGGGCGCUCUCCGGCCCGCACCCUGCGCCGACGACACCUCCGCGCCAGGCACUAUGGCGGACGCGGCCUGGCUUCGGGCGAGCGCCCCCACUCCGGGGUCUCUUAAGCAGGGACUGCACGGGCGGCGCACGCGAGGCGGGGCUUGGGCGUGCGCCGAUAGGCGGGCCGGGGGCGGGGCCGUCUGCGUCACAAAGCGCACCGGCCCGCCCACGUGACCCGGCGCUUUGUGACUUGCGGCGUGGAACCUGAGGCUACGCGGAGAACAGGAGAAACUACGUGGGUCCGCAGAGAGGGGGAGGCGGACCGUCCCACCGGGCGGGUCUGGAAGGGGCGCUUAAGCGGCGGAGGCCCCAAAGUGCGGAGGGGGUGAACCGCGAAUUCCACCCACGCACGAGUCUCAUCACUGUGAUGGCUGCUCACCAACUCCUCUCCUAACAGACUGUAUACCCUGAGCUCUUCCAAAGCUGCUGGUGAGAAUGGACCAUCAUCACCACCAGCAGCAUCUUAAGAGCUGUGUCCGACUCUUACCUUGUACUAGGCACCGCGUUGACCGCUGAUGUUUGCAAAUUCUGGAGCCCAGUCUCCUAGGUCGGAAGUAACUCCGUUCUCCCAAAGACGCUGUCAGAGAAUAAAGAAUUAAAUCCAUGAGUAUAUUUCAAUAUUUAAGACCAUGCCUGGCAUAUCUGUGCCUCAAUACAGGGGGCCUAAUAAAUGUCAAAUAAACAACAGCAAAAAAAUAUCUCCAAUUUAUAAGAUAGAAACCUAAAGCCAACAGCCGUGCAUUUUUCGAGUUUUCAAAGAAGGGAAUGCUUGCUGGGUUGCAGGGUCCUCAUUCCAUUUUAAAUUACAAAGUCCCUUAGGAGGGUUGGCAUUCUUUUUCUCUUGUGGCAUACGGGACAUAUUGCAUUUAUAAAUUCAUAAAUAAUAAAAAUUAAAACUGUACAAUUACUAUC